GCCCGCCUAGCUCAAUCGGAUAGAGCGUAAGACUUUUACGGCAGUGGUGGCAUUCCCGCGAGAUCUUAAGGCUGCGAGUUCGACCCUCGCGGUGGGCU